rnacentral:rRNA from 1 species
GCUAGGAAUAUUGCACAAUGGGCGCAAGCUUGAUGCAGCGACACCGCGUGUGGGAUGAAGGCCUUCGGGUCGUAAACCACUGUCAGGAGGGACGAAGUUAGGCUGUCUAAUACACAGUUUAAUUGACGGUACUUUCAGAGGAAGCCACGGCUAACUCUGUGCCAGCAGCAGCGGUAAGACAGAGGUGGCAAGCGUUGUCCGGAUUUACUGGGCGUAAAGGGCGUGUAGGCGGUUGUGUAUGUCAGUCGUAAAAUGCGUCGGCUCAACCGAAGCGCUGCGGCUGAAACUGCACAGCUAGAGUGCAGGAGAGGAAAGUGGAAUUCCUGGUGUAGCAGUGAAAUGCGUAGAUAUCAGGAAGAACACCAAUGGCGAAGGCGGCUUUCUGGCCUGCAACUGACGCUGAGGCGCGAAAGCCAGGGGAGCAAACGGG